AUACGAAGGGGGCUAGCGUUGCUCGGAAUUACUGGGCGUAAAGGGAGCGUAGGCGGACAUUUAAGUCAGGGGUGAAAUCCCGGGGCUCAACCUCGGAAUUGCCUUUGAUACUGGGUGUCUUGAGUAUGAGAGAGGUAUGUGGAACUCCGAGUGUAGAGGUGAAAUUCGUAGAUAUUCGGAAGAACACCAGUGGCGAAGGCGACAUACUGGCUCAUUACUGACGCUGAGGCUCGAAAGCGUGGGGAGCAAACAGGAUUAGAUACCCUGGUAGUCCACGCCGUAAACGAUGAUUGCUAGUUGUCGGGAUGCAUGCAUUUCGGUGACGCAGCUAACGCAUUAAGCAAUCCGCCUGGGGAGUACGGUCGCAAGAUUAAA
rnacentral:rRNA from 1 species